rnacentral:rRNA from 1 species
GACGAACGCUGGCGGCGUGCUUAACACAUGCAAGUCGAACGGAAAGGCCCUGCUUUUGUGGGGUGCUCGAGUGGCGAACGGGUGAGUAACACGUGAGUAACCUGCCCUUGACUUUGGGAUAACUUCAGGAAACUGGGGCUAAUACCGGAUAGGAGCUCCUGCUGCAUGGUGGGGGUUGGAAAGUUUCGGCGGUUGGGGAUGGACUCGCGGCUUAUCGGCUUGUUGGUGGGGUAGUGGCUUACCAAGGCUUUGACGGGUAGCCGGCCUGAGAGGGUGACCGGCCACAUUGGGACUGAGAUACGGCCCAGACUCCUACGGGAGGCAGCAGUGGGGAAUAUUGCACAAUGGGCGGAAGCCUGAUGCAGCAACGCCGCGUGCGGGAUGACGGCCUUCGGGUUGUAAACCGCUUUCGCCUGUGACGAAGCGUGAGUGACGGCAAUGGGUAAAGAAGCACCGGCUAACUACGUG